rnacentral:rRNA from 1 species
GUCUACCACCCUGAAUGUGCCCCAUCUCAUCUGAUCUCAGAAGCUAAGCAGGAUAGGGCCUUGUUAGUACUUGGAUGGGAGACUGCCUGGAAAUACCUGGUGUUGUACGCU